UAAACUGUAGGACCCAUGCAAGUGGGGGAGGGGGGGGGUCAUGCCCCUCCCCCCGCACACGAUCGAAUUGACGGGGACACCUAAAGCCUACAUCACUACCCACCGCGGGAAAUCGCGGUGGUAUCUCGUGCGAAAGACACGAGGGAGAGUAACAGCAUGUAGGAUACCUCCGGUCUCAGGGCUGGUAAGGAUGGGCAAUCCGCAGCGAAGGCUCUAAGUCCCAGGAUACGAGCAACGUUCACAGACUAGGUGGUUGUGGGUGGAGUCGAAUCUCCGCUUAAGAUAUAGUCGGGCCCGGGGGGAAAACUCUCGGGGGCAUUCACUGCAAAUCCAACCGUUCCGUAGGUGAACCUGCGGAAGGAUCAUUAUCAGAGAUAGGGNUUCNCCGCCCGAACCUCCCAUCCCGUGCGAANUGUUACCCGGUUGCUUCGGCGUUUAGGCUCGUCCACGCCAGUAGCUCAUCACAAAUCUUUGUUGCAAUCGUGACGUCCGAGUACACAAUAUAGAAGAAUAAGAAAACUUUCAACAACGGAUCUCUUGGUUCUGGCAUCGAUGAAGAACGCAGCGAAAUGCGAUAAGUAAUGUGAAUUGCAGAAUUCAGUGAAUCAUCGAAUCUUUGAACGCACAUUGCACCUCCUGGCAUUCCGGGAGGUAUGCCUGUCCGAGCGUCAUUUCACCCCUCAAGCUCCGGCUCGGUGUUGGGCCACAUCCCCCCCAACGGAUGAGCCUCAAAAUCAGUGGCGGCGUGGCAUGACCCCGAGCGUAGUGACACUAUUUUUGCUCCGUGGGUUUCAUGCGACGGUGGCCAGAACUGGAUGUCACAGUCCAACUUCUCAAAGGUGAC
rnacentral:rRNA from 1 species